ensembl:lncRNA novel transcript
CCCCGCUCUCACGUUCCCCUAACUCAAACCAGACGUCCCCGCCAGAUCCUGCACAGCUUUAACCUCGGAGACGCCGUCGGGCAGGUUUGCUGGAUGCCAAUGAGGGUUGCGAGGCGGCCCAGACGGCUGAGUCUGGGAAGGAGGUGAGGAAGCCUGGGGAGCGACAAGGCCUGCAGAGACGGGAUGGUCUGGAGUCCCCUCCGUGACCUCGGGUAGGGAUCUAGAGCGCCUCGAGGGCAGGAAACAGUUAAAUACACUGCAGUCGGAGGCGGGGGAUGGGAGUGGGGAAGGGGGCCCAGAGCCGGCUCUUUGUCAUCUGGUAAUGAGCACCAGAUGCGGAGCUGCGUGCGGGCCUAAACAGACGGCCUCCCAGGGCAGAGCCCCGGCCUGCGCCCAGCCCGGGCUCAGCCCACUUACUCGCAGGCCCCGCCUCAUUCGGGCGCGGCGGCGAACUGCAUACUCCAGCGGUAUCAGCCCGGACCUGGGAGCUACGAGCCACGCCUACUCGCUGCAGAACAGAAGAGAGCCCCCGGGAGCUCUCCAGAGGCCCCGCCCACAAAGCCACAAGCCCCGCCCCUGCCAACUCAAAGAUUCCAGCAGCGAUUGUGCCCGCCCCCUGCCCUCUUGGCCCCGCCCAGUCCCCCGCCCACAACCUACAAGCCCCACCUCCUCCGCUCGGCGCGCGCAGAUUGGCGGAACUAUUAGUCUCGGCUUCUAGGAGGUAUGAACUUCGCCCCGAGUUUACACAUUCUCUUCACGCGGCGCUACAGGCCCCGCCCAACACAACUGCAAGCUUCGCCUCACAGAGCCCUGGACACUGCAGGGAAUCCCUCAGAGGUCUUAACUCUGUUGGGGGAUGAUGUAAACUCCGCCCUCCAGGGAAACGUGUGAAGUUCCCCUCAACCUCCUCUUCAGGCUCCGUCCCCAGCUACAAGCUCCGCCCCCUCUCAAGCUCACAAAAGUGGAAGAACUGCGCCCUCGUAGGACUGUCACACCUCACACAUCGAGCGGAGGUAGCGGUUCACCUACACGGAGCCCCGCCCCCGGGGCCGCCCACGAAAGAUGCAAGCCACGCCCCUGGGGGCCCUGGAGUCCCGCCCACCCAGAGCGCCCUGGCUGCGGCGUAGCGCACAAAUACGGCUCUGCGAAGAGCGCUACCGAGCGAGCCUCUUAUCGCACGCCCCGCCCACACUCAGGCUCACCCUCUUGGCGCAAGCACCGCCCACUCCACCCCUGGGUCCCUUACCACCUUCGCGAUAUGCCCAGAUCCACCAGUCCUCCGAACCCCUCAUCUCUCACCACGAUGCCCUUGAACCUGGCCCUGGAGCCCUCUUCUUCCUCCACCUACGGUUUCCGUUUGUCCAGAUUUCGGGUUCUCUGGGCGAGCCCGGAGACUGGGCCCGGACAGCCGGGCAGAUGGCGUCGAUGGGCCUUUGGCGCCACCUGGCCUCGGCCCCACGGACUUACAGCCACCGCGAGGCCUCGGUAGGGCCUCUCUCUCAAAGCGUACUAAUUGCUCAGUAAAUAGAAAUAGCUGCUUAAUUCGUUAAA